CGGGGUGUCGCCUAACGGUGGGGCACUUGUUUUGGGUACAAGGUAGAGUAGGUUCGACUCCUAUCACCCCGA
rnacentral:tRNA from 1 species